rnacentral:rRNA from 1 species
UACGUAGGGUGCAAGCGUUGCCCGGAUUUAUUGGGCGUAAAGGGCGCGUAGGCGGCUCUGCACGUUCGUUGUGAAAUCGCCCGGCUCAACUGGGCGGGGUCAGCGGAUACGGCAGAGCUUGAGCAAGCUAGGGGGCAAUGGAAUCCCCGGUGUAGUGGUGGAAUGCGUAGAGUAUCGGGAGGAACACCCAGUGGCGAAGGCGGGUUGCCUGGGGCGUUUGGACUGACU